rfam:Colletotrichum orbiculare MAFF 240422 contig00409, whole genome shotgun sequence.
GAGGCGGUGGUCUAGCUGGUCAUGUCGCUCUGCCUUGUAUCGUUAUCCGUAUACCUAGAACCUAUAACCUCUACCUAAAGGCAGAGAGGUCGGUGGUUCGAAUCCAUCCCGCCCCA